CAGUCGCCACGGGAAUACGAAGGGUGCAAGCGUUACUCGGAAUUACUGGGCGUAAAGCGUGCGUAGGUGGUGGUUUAAGUCCGUUGUGAAAGCCCUGGGCUCAACCUGGGAAUUGCAGUGGAUACUGGGUCACUAGAGUGUGGUAGAGGAUAGUGGAAUUUCCGGUGUAGCAGUGAAAUGCGUAGAGAUCGGAAGGAACAUCUGUGGCGAAGGCGACUAUCUGGGCCAACACUGACACUGAGGCACGAAAGCGUGGGGAGCAAACAGGAUUAGAUACCCGCGUAGUCCCUGUCUCUUAUAA
rnacentral:rRNA from 1 species